CAGAGGGACUGGAGCCCAACGUGAUCCCAGAGGCCCUCGGGCCUAGGGGUGGGGAGGGGCAGGCCUACUUCCUGGGGCUUGCUGCACCCGAGGGGGGACUGAUGUCGGGCAGCAGGAUAGAGAGUGGAUGGGGUGGCCCAGGAGACAGGGAGGUCGCCCCAGUGAGGCAAAGGCCACCAGGAUGGCAAGUAGGCCUUACCCCCCCCCCCCCCCCAGCUUACAGUCAGCAGGUGGUCAAUGAUCGACUAUGCAAAUGCACAGCUGCCUAGCAGUGAAUUUCUCUCCACGUUCCUACCAAGCAACAUGGGAUCCGGAAAAUCUGAGCUCCGUUCAAACGUCCCGAAUUCCGACCUCACCAACGUGACCAUCGCCUUUGUUCCAAUUUCUACUUCGGUCACAGUGUCGGCUGCUGAGAGCUGACAGGUCAGAGGGGCAGCGAGCUGUCCACUCACUCUGGUGUUACAGACCUCACCGGUCCUCAGACAGUCUCGCUCGAGAAAUACAGGUGACAAGUUUAAAGCACCCAAAACGCUACUGUGACGAGCCGUCUGUGGAAGCUGGCCUCUGACCAAGGGGCAGCCCGGAGGCUUACCUGGACGACAGCGGCCCGAAGGGGGUGCGGAAGCAGGAGACGCCCCUCUGCCUCCGUUUCCGGAAUGCCUGUUCCACGAGCUUCGCUUCUGAGGCGGGGUCUAUCCGCCAAAAAGACCCCUUCCCAGGCUCCUCCUGGGAACGAGGGACUUUAAUAAAGUAGCGGUUCAAAGA